rnacentral:rRNA from 1 species
CCUACGGGAGGCAGCAGUGGGGGAUAUUGCACAAUGGGGGGAACCCUGAUGCAGCGACGCCGCGUGGGUGAAGAAGCGCCUCGGCGCGUAAAGCCCUGUCAGCAGGGAAGAAAAUGACGGUACCUGAAGAAGAAGCCCCGGCUAACUACGUGCCAGCAGCCGCGGUAAUACGUAGGGGGCAAGCGUUAUCCGGAUUUACUGGGUGUAAAGGGGGCGCAGACGGCGAUGCAAGCCAGGAGUGAAAGCCCGGGGCCCAACCCCGGGACUGCUCUUGGAACUGCGUGGCGGGAGUGCAGGAGGGGCAGGCGGAAUUCCUGGUGUAGCGGUGGAAUGCGUAGAUAUCAGGAGGAACACCGGUGGCGAAGGCGGCCUGCUGGACUGCAACUGACGUUGAGGCCCGAAAGCGUGGGGAGCAAACAGGAUUAGAUACCCGUGUAGUC